UACGAAGGGUGCAAGCGUUAAUCGGAAUUACUGGGCGUAAAGCGUGCGUAGGCGGUUUGUUAAGUCUGUUGUGAAAUCCCCGGGCUUAACCUGGGAACUGCGCUUGUUACUGGCAGACUUGAGUGUAGCAGAGGGGGGUGGAAUUCCACGUGUAGCAGUGAAAUGCGUAGAGAUGUGGAGGAACACCGAUGGCGAAGGCAGCCCCCUGGGUUAACACUGACGCUCAUGCACGAAAGCGUGGGGAGCAAACAGG
rnacentral:rRNA from 1 species